rnacentral:rRNA from 1 species
CAGCCGCCGCGGUAAUACGUAGGUGGCAAGCGUUGUCCGGAAUUAUUGGGCGUAAAGGGCUCGCAGGCGGUUUCUUAAGUCUGAUGUGAAAGCCCCCGGCUCAACCGGGGAGGGUCAUUGGAAACUGGGAAACUUGAGUGCAGAAGAGGAGAGUGGAAUUCCACGUGUAGCAGUGAAAUGCGUAGAGAUGUGGAGGAACACCAGUGGCGAAGGCGACUCUCUGGUCUGUAACUGACGCUGAGGAGCGAAAGCGUGGGGAGCGAACAGGAUUAGAUACCCCGGUAGUCCCUGUCUCUUAUAC